rnacentral:rRNA from 1 species
AUUGAACGCUGGCGGCGUGCCUAACACAUGCAAGUCGAGCGGCAGCGCGGGAGCAAUCCUGGCGGCGAGCGGCGGACGGGUGAGUAACGCUUGGGAAUCUGCCUGUUAGUGGGGGACAACCCGGGGAAACUCGGGCUAAUACCGCAUACGCACUACGGUGGAAAGCCGGGGACCGCAAGGCCUGGCGCUAACAGAUGAGCCCAAGUCGGAUUAGCUAGUUGGUAGGGUAACGGCCUACCAAGGCGACGAUCCGUAACUGGUCUGAGAGGACGACCAGUCACACCGGAACUGAGACACGGUCCGGACUCCUACGGGAGGCAGCAGUGGGGAAUAUUGGACAAUGGGGGAAACCCUGAUCCAGCGACGCCGCGUGGGUGAAGAAGGCUGCGGGUUGUAAAGCCCUUUCAGUGGGGAAGAAAAGCCUCGACCUAAUACGUUGGGUCUUGACGUAACCCAAUAGAAGAAGCACCGGCUAACUCUGUGCCAG